GGCACAUUUGGAAGUUGCAUGGAAAUCUGGAUGCUCUUUUAGAUUUUUGAUUGCUAGAGCUACAAUUUAGCUUUUGGAACCAUUCAAGCAUAGAAUUUGCAACAUUGUUUGCCGCAGUCAUGCACCCAGUCAUCUUCAAUGCAAAAGACAUAUGGAAUCUCAGGAUACAUACGUUCUAAGAUAGAAAAAUGGAUGUGCACUCUAGGCUCGUGAGAAAGUACAAAGCAAUACCAAAGUGGUGGUUUUUCAUGAUUCUUGCCUUGACUUUAACAGUAACCAUUAUAUUCUGUGAUUCGUUUAAGGAUCAACGUCAAUUGCAGUGGUGGGGAGUGCUCCUUUCAUGUGGCCUUGCCAUAUUCUUCGCUCUACCAAAUGGCAUU